AGCGAACGCUGGCGGCGUGCCUAACACAUGCAAGUCGAACGUGAACGGCUUCGGCCUAGUAAAGUGGCGCACGGGUGAGUAACACGUGGAUAAUCUACCUUAGAGUUUGGAAUAACCGGCCGAAAGGCUGGCUAAUACUGAAUAGAUCAAGCCUGUUGUAAAGACAGGAUUGGAAAAGGGAGCUCGCAAGAGCCUUCGCUUUAAGAUGAGUCUGCGUCCCAUUAGCUAGUUGGUGAGGUAAGAGCUCACCAAGGCAAUGAUGGGUAGCUGGUCUGAGAGGAUGAUCAGCCACACUGGAACUGAAACACGGUCCAGACUCCUACGGGAGGCAGCAGUGGGGAAUUUUGCGCAAUGGACGAAAGUCUGACGCAGCCACGCCGCGUGAGUGAAGAAGGCCUUCGGGUUGUAAAGCUCUGUCGGGAGGGACAAAAACUCCAUAGGUUAAUAGCCUAUGGACUUGAUGGUACCUCCGAAGGAAGCACCGGCUAACUUCGUG
rnacentral:rRNA from 1 species